UACGAAGGGGGCUAGCGUUGCUCGGAAUUACUGGGCGUAAAGCGCACGUAGGCGGCUUUCUAAGUCGGGGGUGAAAUCCUGGAGCUCAACUCCAGAACUGCCUUCGAUACUGGAGAGCUCGAGUCCGGGAGAGGUGAGUGGAACUGCGAGUGUAGAGGUGAAAUUCGUAGAUAUUCGCAAGAACACCAGUGGCGAAGGCGGCUCACUGGACUGGUAUUGACGCUGAGGUGACGAAAGCGUGGGGAGCAAACAGG
rnacentral:rRNA from 1 species